UCGGGAAUUUUGGGCAAUGGGCGAAAGCCUGACCCAGCAACGCCGCGUGAAGGAUGAAGUCUCUCGGGAUGUAAACUUCGUAAGAAUAGGAAGAAUAAAUGACGGUACUAUUUGUAAGGUCCGGCUAACUACGUGCCAGCAGCCGCGGUAAUACGUAGGGACCAAGCGUUGUUCGGAUUUACUGGGCGUAAAGGGCGCGUAGGCGGCGUGGUAAGUCACUUGUGAAAUCUCCGAGCUUAACUCGGAACGGUCAAGUGAUACUGCUGUGCUAGAGUACAGAAGGGGCAAUCGGAAUUCUUGGUGUAGCGGUGAAAUGCGUAGAUAUUAAGAGGAACACCUGAGGUGAAGACGGGUUGCUGGGCUGAUACUGACGCUGAGGCGCGAAAGCUAGGGUAGCAAACGGGAUUAGAUACCCUUGUAGUCCCUGAGCGGGCUGGCAAGGCGCAU
rnacentral:rRNA from 1 species